ACGGGGUGCAGCAGGCGCGAAAACUUUACAAUGCGGGAAACCGCGAUAAGGGGACACUGAGUGCCAGCAUAUUAUGUUGGCUGUCCACAUGUAUAAAAAUCAUGUGUUAGCAAGGGCCGGGCAAGACCGGUGCCAGCCGCCGCGGUAACACCGGCGGCCCGAGUGGUGAUCACUUUUAUUGGGUCUAAAGGGUCCGUAGCCGGUUUAAUCAGUCUUCUGGGAAAUCUGACAGCUCAACUGUUAGGCUUUCAGGGGAUACUGUUAGACUUGGGACCGGGAGAGGUAAGAGGUACUACAGGGGUAGGAGUGAAAUCUUGUAAUACCCUGUGGGACCACCAGUGGCGAAGGCGUCUUACCAGAACGGGUCCGACGGUGAGGGACGAAAGCUGGGGGCACGAACCGGAUUAGAUACCCGGGUAGUCCCAGCCGUAAACGAUGUUCGCUAGGUGUCAGGGACGGUGCGACCGUUUCUGGUCCGUAGGGAAGCUCGUGAAGCGAACCACCUGGAAGUACGACCGCAAGGC
rnacentral:rRNA from 1 species